CACAUGCAAGUCGAGGGGCAGCAUGCUUUGUAGCAAUACAGAUUGAUGGCGACCGGCGCACGGGUGAGUAACGCGUAUGCAACUUACCUAUCAGAGGGGGAUAGCCCGGCGAAAGUCGGAUUAAUACCCCAUAAAGCAGGGGUCCCGCAUGGGAAUAUUUGUUAAAGAUUCAUCGCUGAUAGAUAGGCAUGCGUUCCAUUAGGCAGUUGGCGGGGUAACGGCCCACCAAACCGACGAUGGAUAGGGGUUCUGAGAGGAAGGUCCCCCACAUUGGUACUGAGACACGGACCAAACUCCUACGGGAGGCAGCAGUGAGGAAUAUUGGUCAAUGGCCGAGAGGCUGAACCAGCCAAGUCGCGUGAAGGAAGAAGGAUCUAUGGUUUGUAAACUUCUUUUAUAGGGGAAUAAAGUGGAGGACGUGUCCUUUUUUGUAUGUACCCUAUGAAUAAGCAUCGGCUAACUCCGUGCCAGCAGCCGCGGUAAUACGGAGGAUGCGAGCGUUAUCCGGAUUUAUUGGGUUUAAAGGGUGCGUAGGUGGUGAUUUAAGUCAGCGGUGAAAGUUUGUGGCUCAACCAUAAAAUUGCCGUUGAAACUGGGUUACUUGAGUGUGUUUGAGGUAGGCGGAAUGCGUGGUGUAGCGGUGAAAUGCAUAGAUAUCACGCAGAACUCCGAUUGCGAAGGCAGCUUACUAAACCAUAACUGACACUGAAGCACGAAAGCGUGGGGAUCAAACAGGAUUAGAUACCCUGGUAGUCCACGCAGUAAACGAUGAUUACUAGGAGUUUGCGAUACAAUGUAAGCUCUACAGCGAAAGCGUUAAGUAAUCCACCUGGGGAGUACGCCGGCAACGGUGAAACUCAAAGGAAUUGACGGGGGCCCGCACAAGCGGAGGAACAUGUGGUUUAAUUCGAUGAUACGCGAGGAACCUUACCCGGGUUUGAACGUAGUCUGACCGGAGUGGAAACACUCUUUCUAGCAAUAGCAGAUUACGAGGUGCUGCAUGGUUGUCGUCAGCUCGUGCCGUGAGGUGUCGGCUUAAGUGCCAUAACGAGCGCAACCCUUAUCACUAGUUACUAACAGGUGAAGCUGAGGACUCUGGUGAGACUGCCAGCGUAAGCUGUGAGGAAGGUGGGGAUGACGUCAAAUCAGCACGGCCCUUACAUCCGGGGCGACACACGUGUUACAAUGGCGUGGACAAAGGGCAGCUACCUGGUGACAGGAUGCUAAUCUCCAAACCAUGUCUCAGUUCGGAUCGGAGUCUGCAACUCGACUCCGUGAAGCUGGAUUCGCUAGUAAUCGCGCAUCAGCCAUGGCGCGGUGAAUACGUUCCCGGGCCUUGUACACACCGCCCGUCAAGCCAUGGGAGCCGGGGGUACCUGAAGUCCGUAACCGCAAGGAUCGGCCUAGGGUAAAACUGGUGACUGGGGCUAAGU
rnacentral:rRNA from 1 species